rnacentral:rRNA from 1 species
GAUGAACGCUGGCGGCGUGCUUAGCACAUGCAAGUCGAACGAUGAAGCCCAGCUUGCUGGGUGGAUUAGUGGCGAACGGGUGAGUAACACGUGAGUAACCUGCCCUUAACUCUGGGAUAAGCCUGGGAAACUGGGUCUAAUACCGGAUAGGAGCGUCCACCGCAUGGUGGGUGUUGGAAAGAUUUAUCGGUUUUGGAUGGACUCGCGGCCUAUCAUCUUGUUGGUGAGGUAAUGGCUCACCAAGGCGACGACGGGUAGCCGGCCUGAGAGGGUAACCGGCCACACUGGGACUGAGACACGGCCCAGACUCCUACGGGAGGCAGCAGUGGGGAAUAUUGCACAAUGGGCGCAAGCCUGAUGCAGCGACGCCGCGUGAGGGAUGACGGCCUUCGGGUUGUAAACCUCUUUCAGUAGGGAAGAAGCGAAAGUGACGGUACCUGCAGAAGAAGCACCGGCUAACUACGUG